CCCGCUGAACUUAAGCAUAUCAAUAAGCGGAGGAAAAGAAACUAACAAGGAUUCCCCUAGUAACUGCGAGUGAAGCGGGAAAAGCUCAAAUUUAAAAUCUGGCGGUCUUGCGGCCGUCCGAGUUGUAAUCUGGAGAAGCGUUUAUCCGCGUCGGACCGUGUACAAGUCUUCUGGAAGGGAGCGUCGUAGAGGGUGAGAAUCCCGUCUUUGACACGGACAACCGGUGCUUUUGUGAUGCGCUCUCGAAGAGUCGAGUUGUUUGGGAAUGCAGCUCAAAAUGGGUGGUAAAUUCCAUCUAAAGCUAAAUAUUGGCGAGAGACCGAUAGCGAACAAGUACCGUGAGGGAAAGAUGAAAAGCACUUUGGAAAGAGAGUUAAACAGUACGUGAAAUUGUUGAAAGGGAAACGUUUGAAGUCAGUCGCGUCGGCCGAGACUCAACCUUGCUUCUGCUCGGUGCACUUCUCGGUUGACGGGUCAGCAUCAAUUUUGACCGCCGGAUAAAGGUCGGGGGAAUGUGGCAUCCUUCGGGAUGUGUUAUAGUCUCUCGUCGCAUGCGAGGGUCGGGAUUGAGGAACUCAGCACGCGCCCUCGGGCGUCGGGGCUUUCGCCCACGAUACGUGCUUAGGAUGUUGGCGUAAUGGCUUUAAACGACCCGUCUUGAAACACGG
rnacentral:rRNA from 1 species